rnacentral:tRNA from 1 species
GUCCAAGUGGUCUAGUGCUUUAAGACGCUGCCCUCCCAAGGCAGAGGCGAUGGUUCGAAUCCGGUCUUGGACA